UACAGAGGUCCCAAGCGUUGUUCGGAUUCACUGGGCGUAAAGGGUGCGUAGGUGGCGGGGUAAGUUUGAUGUGAAAUCUCCGAGCUUAACUCGGAAACUGCAUUGAAUACUAUCUAGCUAGAGGGUUGGAGGGGGGACUGGAAUUCUCGGUGUAGCAGUGAAAUGCGUAGAUAUCGAGAGGAACACCAGUGGCGAAGGCGAGUCCCUGGACGAACUCCUGACACUGAGGCACGAAAGCUAGGGGAGCAAACAGG
rnacentral:rRNA from 1 species